rnacentral:rRNA from 1 species
GAAUAUUGCACAAUGGGCGCAAGCCUGAUGCAGCGACGCCGCGUGGGCGAAGAAGGUUUUCGGAUCGUAAAGCCCUUUUCUGUGUGACGAUAAUGACGGUAGCACAGGAAUAAGUGUCGGCUAACUACGUGCCAGCAGGCGCGGUAAAACGUAGGACGCAAACGUUAUCCGGAAUUACUGGGCGUAAAGGGCGCGCAGGCGGUAGAGUAAGUGAGGCAUGAAAGCUCCCUGGCUUAACCGGGAGAGGAUGUCUGAUACUGCUUUACUAGAGUGAGGUAGAGGGGUGUAGAAUUCCGCGUGUAGUGGUGAAAUGCGUAGAGAUGCGGAGGAAUACCAGUGGCGAAGGCGGCACCCUGGACCUUAACUGACGCUGAGGCGCGAAAGCAUGGGUAGCGAACGGG